rnacentral:rRNA from 1 species
UACGAAGGGGGCUAGCGUUGUUCGGAAUUACUGGGCGUAAAGGGCGCGUAGGCGGUCCUGAUCGCCGGAUGUGAAAGGCCUGGGCUCAACCUGGGAAUGGCAUCCGAUACGGCGGGACUGGAGUGUGGGAGAGGUUGGUGGAAUUCCCAGUGUAGAGGUGAAAUUCGUAGAUAUUGGGAAGAACACCGGUGGCGAAGGCGGCCAACUGGACCACAACUGACGCUGAGGCGCGAAAGCGUGGGGAGCAAACAGG